CAAAUGGGGGAUCUCAGAAGUCUUAAUGAAGUAACUAUCCCUGAACACUGGGAUCAAUACUCAGCAUCCAGCUGUCAAAUCAACACCAAGCCGCCUCCUGGAGCAGAUUGUUAAGCUGAUGCGAGUCUGGGCUCUGCCUCACCACUUGUCUCAGAGACAGAGUCUUGCUCUGUCACCUAGGCUGGAGUGCAGUGGUGCCAUCACAGCUCACUGCAGCCUCGACCUCCCCGUGCUCAAGUGAUCCUCACACCUCAGCCUCCCGAGUAGCCGCGAUCACAAGUUAAACAAACACAGUUCUUUACAUCAAUGCUUCCGUCCCUGGCCAUCUGGUCUCCUGUCCCCUCCAGACCCAAAACCAUGGGCUGGGCUGCAGCAAAAUGAGGGUGUACUCAGUGCACUGAGGCCCAUGUACCAUGAGAGAUGG
rnacentral:lncRNA from 10 species